rnacentral:rRNA from 1 species
UACUCGAGUGGCUAACGGGUGAGUAACACGUGGGUGAUCUGCCCUGCACUUCGGGAUAAGCUUGGGAAACUGGGUCUAAUACCGGAUAGGAGCCAUCUUUAGUGUGGUGGUUGGAAAGUUUUUUCGGUGUAGGAUGAGCUCGCGGCCUAUCAGCUUGUUGGUGGGGUAAUUGCCUACCAAGGCGGCGACGGGUAGCCGGCCUGAGAGGGUGUACGGCCACAUUGGGACUGAGAUACGGCCCAG